GACGAACGCUGGCGGCGCGCCUAAUACAUGCAAGUCGAGCGAUGAAAUCCCUUCGGGGAUGGAUUAGCGGCGGACGGGUGAGUAACACGUGGGUAACCUGCCUCAAAGAGGGGGAUAGCCUCCCGAAAGGGAGAUUAAUACCGCAUAACAUUAGUUUUUCGCAUGGAGGACUAAUUAAAGGAGUAAUCCGCUUUGAGAUGGACCCGCGGCGCAUUAGCUAGUUGGUGAGGUAACGGCUCACCAAGGCAACGAUGCGUAGCCGACCUGAGAGGGUGAUCGGCCACAUUGGAACUGAGACACGGUCCAGACUCCUACGGGAGGCAGCAGUGGGGAAUAUUGCACAAUGGGCGAAAGCCUGAUGCAGCAACGCCGCGUGAGUGAUGAAGGCCUUCGGGUUGUAAAGCUCUGUCUUUUGGGACGAUAAUGACGGUACCAAAGGAGGAAGCCACGGCUAACUACGUGCCAGCAGCCGCGGUAAUAC
rnacentral:rRNA from 1 species